UGUUCAAGAAACAACAAAAACAAACAAACAAAUAAUCUCCAGAAAACAUCUGUCAGCUUGAUGUCAUAAAACCAAGUUAAGGUUCAGCCUUUCCUAGUGAAGGAUGUUGUGACUUCUGAAGACUUCAGCCUGCCUCAGCCCAUCAGUGGUCGGUGUUCAUCUACCUGUUAGAAUCUUAGAUUUGAGCCACCAGGGAACUAGGGAGCAACUGGAUUUAUCCAGAUCCAGCCUAUACCAACAAGAAAACCUCUGACAACUCGCCUUGAAACUUUCUCUGCUCCAGUGCAAACUCUAAGAGACAAAAAUCAAACAUUCCUUUGCUGCUGAGAUGCCCUGCUGCUGAGAUGCCCCGCUGCUGGCCGGCCUUCUACAGUGGUACUUGUUUCCCUGGAGCACCUGAACCCAUUUAUUCUCCAUCUGUUUCUUGCCUUCCUAAAGCAAUUUUAUUGCACCCCAGAAGGUUUCGCUUCUCUCAAUUAGAGAGGGGAGAAGCACUCAAAGACAUCCAGAAGACACCAGAGACUUUGCAGGUCCUUCAUCUCCAGUCUUUCUCCACAUCACGUUCUACAGUCAUUGGCAUCAGCUCUUAUCUGUCUUUGGUUGCUUGAGUCUCUGCUCCUUUGUCACACACCUGUCCUCAUGCAAUAGCAAUAAGUCAACACAAGGUGCUGAACAAAUUGCUAGGAUCUGCCUCAUGUGAAGCAUUUGAGGUGUCAGUGAUUAGUUUACCUGAGCAAAACCAUCUUUAGAGCUUAUGAAAAAGAGGAUGCAAUGUCACCUUUUUAUAGGGAAAUUUCCAAUAAAAUUAAAAAUGCUUCUGCAAACAUGUAUUUCUUCUUAUUAUCCAUUUGAGACCAUGAAUGCCAUAACAUGAUUUUUGUGUGUCUUUUCUAAUAAAUAAGUGAAUUAAAAAUGAAAAUAAAAUAGCAAGUUAGUGACCUAUUAUUUUCACAAUAAUUUAGAAGGCUAAUUGAAAAGCAAUCUAUG